rnacentral:rRNA from 1 species
GACAGAGGAUGCAAGCGUUAUCCGGAAUGAUUAGGCGUAAAGCAUCUGUAGGUGGCUUUUCAAGGCCGCCGUCAAAUCCCAGGGCUCAACCCUGGACAGGCGGUGGAAACUACCAAGCUGGAGUACGGUAGGGGUAGAGUGAAUUUCCGGUGGAGCGGUGAAAUGCAUUGAGAUCGGAAAGAACACCAACGACGAAAGCACUCUGCUGGGCCGACACUGACACUGAGAGACGAAAGCUAGGGGAGCAAAU